CCUAGAACAUCAUCUGCUCUGGAAUUGGCUCCAUCCUCCUUUACUGAAGCAACGUGGUUAUGGUUCAGAGGAGCAGGCUAAAAAAGACAGGUCAAGGGGAGCCUGGGAACCGGAGCGCUGGGAACCGCAGGUUGAUUUGCUUCUGCUUGUUCGGUCUAGCGGGUGCCUCGGGUGUUUGCGCCGCCAUCUCUGUGCGUAGUGCCUCCUUUCACGAUGUUUUGGCUGUUUCCAAGGGAAGGGUGAGCAGGCCGAUGGGUGGGAGAGUCUGAGGCUUGGUGCCAAUUAAUGCUGUGACGUGGAGCAUGUGGUUGGUCGAAUUCAGAGGGAAAGGAAGGGUUGGAAAGAUCAGCCCAGCUGCUAACAGGCGGAUUUCCCUCGACCGGAUCUCUGGAAUUGCAGACACUCAUUUUUGAACAAGCUUGUGGUGGAGGAUUUGGGUUGUGUGAGUGUGUGUGAGUGAGUGGAGCAGACUUUCUUGGAAACUGGAGGAAGGAGAAGAGGAGGCUUAAGGAACUAUUGCUGAUGGGCUGUGGUUGAUGAAACGUGGUGGGUUGAUGGGCCAGCCCCAGCUUUCAUCCUGGGUUCUCUGGUGUUGGGGGUGGGGUCGGAUGUGGGGCUCUCCAUGGCCGGUUAAGUAGCUGCGGGGACAGAGCAGAAGAGAAAAACGAGGUGCCCUCCAGCAGCAGAGAGGCCAGCGCUCCUUCUGCGGGUCGCAGACCUUGCCCGGUGCUGCUCAACACCAGCCCAAGUGAUUCUGCCACGAAAUAUUCCAGCCCCGGGGACCCUACUUGCUUCUUGCCCCUUCUCUGUGUUUUCUUUCUGGUGUGUCUUAGAGAUUUCAGAUGGGGAAGCCUCAGAAUUGAGCAAGCUAGAGCUGUCCUAACCAAAUUGGAAAGGAAGGUGAAAGUGUUCCUUUCUUUAGCCAAAGACCCUCUCCUCAAAGACACCCCCAGAUGUGGACAGAAUGGCAUUCCUCUCUCCUUCCUCUCCCGGCAAUAAUAACUCUGUCAGUGAUGCAAUCCCGUUUAUGUCCUUCUCUUGCCUGACUUGUUUUGGUUUUUUUGUUUUUGCCUUUAUUUUAAAACUGUGCUCAUCUUGUAAGUGGAAUGGAGAUUUGUAAUCCCCAAAUGCUGCUGCUGUCAGGAAACUGGAGGUACUGCAUGGAUCUGUGGGUGGAACUCACCUCGAGUUACCUCGGGUAUCCGCCGGAGCAGACUGGCCAGGAGGUGCGGCUCUGUCUGGGUCAGGUGCACGCCAGGACCGGGCUCAGGGGGUCAGUACUUUUCCGCUUCAAUGCCUUAGGACUCUCACUUCCGAGUUCCACAGAUGGGACUCAGUGGAGAGUUGGAGAUGGCGAACUGAUAUUUAAAGUCAGUAGAAACCCCUUGAAGGCUUUUGGCACCCUCACUCACUUGAGUGACCCAACCUAGGAGAGGUUUUUCCCAUCCUUCUGGCAGCUCCCAGAAGUCCAAGAGAGCCAGCUCUGAGCCAGUUCUUCAUUUGAGACUCAGUGAGAAUCUGCAGAGAAGUGACCCUUCUGCAGGGCAUGCUUGCUCAGGGUACCUCUGCCAGAAGGGAGCUUCCUGACGCCCCAGCUUGAGUCCCAGGAGCCUCUGCGAGCCCCUAAUUGCACUCUCAUUGCAUUAGAAUUUCACAUUGACUAGUCUCUUUGUUAGAACUUGCCAUGUCCCUCGAGUAGGAGCCAACAUUUGUUGAAUGCUUUCAAUACACCAGGCUCAUCCCAAGCCCUUGGUGAGCACAGCCUCCCAGUACCCUCGGGCUCACCCCUAUUCACAACACCCCUCUCCUCCAUUUACAGAGGAGGAAAUUGGUGAGACAGUCGACUCUCUGAGAAAGUAGGCUGUGUUAAAGAAAGGAAAUACAAGGAUUUGGGGGUGGCCCCAAGUCCCCGAGCUUCUAGUGAAAUUUUGUGUUCUUGAGACCUUUACUAACUGAAUUUGUUUCCCUUGUUAAAUAAUCAUCAGUGAGUGGCCUCGUGUUUCUGGUGAACCAUCUAAUGAUGCUCCCAUUGACUGUAUGCCAGACAUUGCGCUGGAAGUCGCUCCUGUUUAUCCCGUUUCGUUUCGUCUUCAUAACAGCCCUAUGAAAUCAGCAGUACUAGUCCCUUUACAGAUGAGGCAGACGGCUUGGUGAACUGGUAACCAGCCCAGCGUCACACAAGCCAGUAGGGAAGGCCGGCCGUGACCUGGGUCUGCCCAGCUCACAGACGCCAACCUCAGCUGUCUCCUGGGUGUGUGUGCGAAGAAGGGCCUCACAGGAGCGUUGCCCCGCACCACCCCUGCCCUGUGCGCGGAGCUCAGCAGAAGGUCUGUAUGUAGAGGGAGUCCUGAAUCUGAUCCAGGCAGCAAGGGCAGAAUUAGUUUGACUUUUAGAGAAAAUCUUAGGGGAGUCUCUUUGGAUUAAUCAUAGUAGAGUUCAUUUUCAAUUCCUUUUCAGUGUACCAACUAGCUUUAGUAGUGCUGCUGCUACAACAGACUCUUAUAAGAGUGAAGAAAAAAAAAAGUGUUCUUUUCUUCUUUUAAAAAAAUAUUUUUUUCUUGCUUAUAGUUAAUUCUAGAAAGGCAAUACUAAAAGUAUAUAUUUUCUUCAAAAUACUAUUUUUUACUGCACUGAUAAAUAUCAUAACGACUCUGGUCUCUGUAAUCAGUCCACUCUUCAGCUCUGGGUAGAACCAAAGGCAGGAUUCACACCAAAUUUGUAAAUAGCAUGUGUGAGUCUGGUGUCCAGGAACUGUUUUUUCUUUGUGUUUAAAAAUUUAAAAAAAAAAAAAAAAAAAGGGAAAAAAGAGAUGAGAUCAAGAUGAUGUUUAGAAAGAGGAACAAAAUUAAGUUUUCUUUCAAGAUAGUUUUCUUUCUCAAAGAAAUGGGAAGCAACAGUUGUGCAAACUGAAGAAAAAUUAGCCAACUUUCAGGAUACAAGGAAGGAGAGCCUCAGGCUGAGGUGGGAGAUUAACAGUAACAUAGAAACAUGUUUCCUUUGGUUGAAAGGUGGCAAGAAUUUAGCAAUGCUUUAGAACUAGAUUUUUAAUUUUGUGGGAAAUCAUAACCAUUUGUUACAAAAUAUCUCUGCAGUUGUUUGGAAUGGGGUUUUCAGUUUCUUUUUUUUUUCCUUUAAAAAUUUCCUUAUUGACUGGCUCCAGGCAUGUUUGCCUCAAUUCUUAGGUAGUUUACAAAGUUCUAGAGUCUUCUAGAGCUUUAAUUCCAUUGGAAGCAAACCCAGCUAAUCAGAAUUUGAGAUCCUGGUUGGUUUGAAUAGGUAUUCUGGAAUUCUUGACAGAACACCUGAAGACUUCUUUUUUUUUUUUUUUUCUUAAGAAGGUUUUAGAUACGUUAUCUUACACAAACUGUGACCUGAUGGCAAUAAUUACCUCAAAUGUGGGCAUUCAUCCUGGUUUUAGCCUUUUUUGAAAUCAUGUAGCCAGCUUGCUCUUGGAAUUUAAAAGACUAUAAAUAUAAACUCCGUGUGGGCUGAAAAUAACAAUUACUGCACACCCUGGUCAUUGUUGCUUAAGUGAACUCUGAAAAUAGGUAAUCCUUACAACAGAAGUUAAACCAAGGGAGAGAAUAUUCUUUGUGUUUUGUAAUCAAAUGUGAGUUUCAGAUGCACAUGUUUAAGUAUAUAUGUUUUUAGCUACUGUAAAAUGCUGUUAGCCUUCUAAGAUAUCAAGAGAGUCACGUUUUAAAUGCAUAAACUAUAAACAGUUGACUGUGGAUAACUAAACAUAUUUCUGGCCACGUUUUAUAGUUAAAGUAUUUUAUAGUUUACAUUUAAACUGGUACUUUUUAAAGAAAAUUUCUGUUUAUAACUGACAUCUUCAGACCCCAGCAAUGGCCUCUUCAGGUGGAGGCCACGUUCCCCCAAGGCAGGUGUGUUCUGCCCCUACUGUAGCCCACCAUGAGCAUUUCCAUCUGUAUUGCUGGUUUCCAUGGGAACUCGAGAGAAUGUAAAGGGAUUUCCAGGUUGAGCAGGAAGGGGUGAGUCCACAGCCUGGGCCAGGUGCACAGAUCUGCGCCGUGAUAUGCACACUGGUGGUCAAGGCCUUCUCUUUGGCAUCUUGAAAGAGGCAGAGAGAAUAGACAUCUAGUUCAUUGAUUUUGUCUUGAUUUGAAUGUUUAAUUUAUUAAUCGACCCACUGACUUCCAGACACCAGGCAGUAGAAGACACUGGGAUUCAGGUGGCCCCGAAGGUACAGCUGCUAUUUCUGGGGCCCCAGCAAUACUCUGAUUGGUGUUUUGCAGGGGAGAAUUAUACACCCCCAUGCCUAUAUUUACUGGUUGGGUUUUCCGUAUAUCUGCUGUCAUUUAUUCCUUUUGUCCUUUAAAACAAAGUAAGUGUAAAAGGAUAUGUUUACUUUUUACUCUUUAUCAAACUUCUAUUUGAAGCCUAGGUCAUUAGGAGAUGGGGUCUAGAUUUUUUUUUUUUUUUUAACAGCUCAUAGUUUUGUUCAGUAAACAGAGGGUAGGUAGUACAUCCUCCAGGCAUGAGGGCGGGCCAACCCCAAAGAAGAGGCCUAGACUUUUUUUUCCUAGAGAUUGUAAGGGCUGCUGAGCAGGAGGAAGGGACUGGAAUCUGAAGGACAGCUAGGGGGGCAGAUGAUGAGAUCCAUCCAAGCAGAGGUCACAGUUGAGAGGCCCCGUCGCCAUGCAGAAGCAGCCUGGAGGGCACCAGUUGCCCUAAGUGUUUUGGUUCCUUUCUUCUUUUGUGCCACAACCUUAGCGCAGAGGACCUGCUGUGAUCUGAAGGGCAUUCCUUUAGCAAAUAACACCUUAAAAACUGCAAACACCUGGGACCAGGGAACUGGUGGUGGUUCUUAAUGCACUUGCUUUUUCCUUGUGAACUCUGUUGAUAGCACAUUCUUAUCACAGUAUUCGGUUGGAAAUGUCACUGUAAAAUAGUUUUUGUCUUGCCCCUCCUAAUUCAACUGUCACUUUUCCUCUGUUUGGUUUUCUCCCGUGAUUUAAAUAACAAAAUAUAUUUUAUGUCAUUGUCUUUGGGGCUUAAUCAUAUUUUUAAAAAACAGAGGAAUAGAAAUUAGCUUUUUCUUUUAAGUAAAUAUGCUGUAUCUUAAAAAAGGGCUCUGCCUUCUCUCUCGUUUCCUUUCAGCCAGCCUCCAUGCCAACCUCCCAGCACCCUUGCCCCCUUCUUGUGUUGGGGCACUGCUCCCCGCACCGCCCCCACACGUGGCCACCUUGGUCUCCACCCUGCUGUCCCACAGCCCCAUCCAGGCACCCAGUCCUAGGCACCCAGGAUGCCCAGGAGGCUCUCAAGAGCCAGGAAGAAGGACCCACUUAGCCUUGCCAAUGGUGGUCUUGCCUCCCUGUUAGCUAUUCGCCUGCUUGGUUGAAGGGGCAAUGGAUUUAUUUUUAUUA
ensembl:lncRNA